rnacentral:rRNA from 1 species
CCUACGGGAGGCUGCAGUGGGGAAUAUUGCACAAUGGGCGCAAGCCUGAUGCAGCCAUGCCGCGUGUGUGAAGAAGGCCUUCGGGUUGUAAAGCACUUUCAGCGGGGAGGAAGGCGGUGAGGUUAAUAACCUCAUCGAUUGACGUUACCCGCAGAAGAAGCACCGGCUAACUCCGUGCCAGCAGCCGCGGUAAUACGGAGGGUGCAAGCGUUAAUCGGAAUUACUGGGCGUAAAGCGCACGCAGGCGGUCUGUCAAGUCGGAUGUGAAAUCCCCGGGCUCAACCUGGGAACUGCAUUCGAAACUGGCAGGCUAGAGUCGUGUAGAGGGGGGCAGAAUUCCAGGUGUAGCGGUGAAAUGCGUAGAGAUCUGGAGGAAUACCGGUGGCGAAGGCGGCCCCCUGGACAAAGACUGACGCUCAGGUGCGAAAGCGUGGGGAGCAAACAGGAGUAGAUACCCGGGUAGUC